CCCAGGCCUCCCUGGAGCACGAGGAGGGCAAGAUCCUCCGGGCCCAGCUGGAGUUCAACCAGAUCAAGGCAGAGAUCGAGCGGAAGCUGGCAGAGAAGGACGAGGAGAUGGAACAGGCCAAGCGCAACCACCUGCGGGUGGUGGACUCGCUGCAGACCUCCCUGGACGCAGAGACACGCAGCCGCAACGAGGCCCUGAGGGUGAAGAAGAAGAUGGAAGGAGACCUCAAUGAGAUGGAGAUCCAGCUCAGCCACGCCAACCGCAUGGCCGCCGAGGCCCAGAAGCAAGUCAAGAGCCUCCAGAGCUUGUUGAAGGACACCCAGAUUCAGCUGGACGAUGCAGUCCGUGCCAACGACGACCUGAAGGAGAACAUCGCCAUCGUGGAGCGGCGCAACAACCUGCUGCAGGCUGAGCUGGAGGAGUUGCGUGCCGUGGUGGAGCAGACAGAGCGGUCCCGGAAGCUGGCGGAGCAGGAGCUGAUUGAGACUAGUGAGCGGGUGCAGCUGCUGCAUUCCCAGAACACCAGCCUCAUCAACCAGAAGAAGAAGAUGGAUGCUGACCUGUCCCAGCUCCAGACUGAAGUGGAGGAGGCAGUGCAGGAGUGCAGGAAUGCUGAGGAGAAGGCCAAGAAGGCCAUCACGGAUGCCGCCAUGAUGGCAGAGGAGCUGAAGAAGGAGCAGGACACCAGCGCCCACCUGGAGCGCAUGAAGAAGAACAUGGAACAGACCAUUAAGGACCUGCAGCACCGGCUGGACGAAGCCGAGCAGAUCGCCCUCAAGGGCGGCAAGAAGCAGCUGCAGAAGCUGGAAGCGCGGGUGCGGGAGCUGGAGAAUGAGCUGGAGGCCGAGCAGAAGCGCAACGCAGAGUCGGUGAAGGGCAUGAGGAAGAGCGAGCGGCGCAUCAAGGAGCUCACCUACCAGACGGAGGAGGACAGGAAAAACCUGCUGCGGCUGCAGGACCUGGUAGACAAGCUGCAGCUAAAGGUCAAGGCCUACAAGCGCCAGGCCGAGGAGGCGGAGGAGCAAGCCAACACCAACCUGUCCAAGUUCCGCAAGGUGCAGCACGAGCUGGAUGAGGCAGAGGAGCGGGCGGACAUCGCCGAGUCCCAGGUCAACAAGCUGCGGGCCAAGAGCCGUGACAUUGGCACGAAGGGCUUGAAUGAGGAGUAGCUUUGCCACAUCUUGAUCUGCUCAGCCCUGGAGGUGCCAGCAAAGCCCCAUGCUGGAGCCUGUGUAACAGCUCCUUGGGAGGAAGCAGAAUAAAGCAAUUUUCCUUGAAGCCG
rnacentral:lncRNA from 1 species